rnacentral:rRNA from 1 species
UAGUGGCGGACGGGUGAGUAACGCGUGAGCAAUCUGCCUUUAAGAGGGGGAUAACAGUCGGAAACGACUGCUAAUACCGCAUAACGUAUAGAAUUCGCAUGAUUUCUAUACCAAAGGAGCAAUCCGCUUUUAGAUGAGCUCGCGUCUGAUUAGCUAGUUGGCGGGGUAACGGCCCACCAAGGCGACGAUCAGUAGCCGGACUGAGAGGUUGAACGGCCACAUUGGGACUGAGACACGGCCCAGACUCUUACGGGAGGCAGCAGUGGGGAAUAUUGCGCAAUGGGGGGAACCCUGACGCAGCAACGCCGCGUGAUUGAAGAAGGCCUUCGGGUUGUAAAGAUCUUUAAUUCGGGACGAAAAAAAUGACGGUACCGAAAGAAUAAGCUCCGGCUAACUACGUGCCAGCAGCCGCGGUAAUACGUAGGGAGCAAGCGUUAUCCGGAUUUACUGGGUGUAAAGGGCGCGCAGGCGGGCUUGCAAGUUGGGAGUGAAAUCCCGGGGCUCAACCCCGGAACUGCUUUCAAAACUGUGAGUCUUGAGUGAUGGAGAGGCAGGCGGAAUUCCCAGUGUAGCGGUGAAAUGCGUAGAUAUUGGGAGGAACACCAGUGGCGAAGGCGGCCUGCUGGACAUUAACUGACGCUGAGGCGCGAAAGCGUGGGGAGCAAACAGGAUUAGAUACCCUGGUAGUCCACGCCGUAAACGAUGGAUACUAGGUGUGGGGGGUAUUGACCCCCUCCGUGCCGCAGUUAACACAAUAAGUAUCCCACCAGGGGAGUACGGCCGCAAGGUUGAA